AUGGCGCCGGGAUUCACCAGGUUUGAUUUGGAGCAAUUCGAUGGUAUGGGUAACUUCGGUCUGUGGCAAACAAAAGUCAAGGAUAUUCUGGCGCAACAGGGAAUCUUGAAGGGUUUGCAGGAGAAGAAGCUGGCCAUGGUUGAAAACAAUGUGUGGGAGGAUAUGCAAGUGCAGGCGGCCGCUACCAUACGGCUUUGUCUUGCGGAUCAGGUCAUGUAUCAUGUCAUGGACGAAGAUUCUUCUAAGGGAAUUUGGGACAAGUUGACAAAUCGUUAUAUGUCCAAGUCAGCGACCAAUAAGCUGUAUUUGAAGCAAAAGUUCUAUGGGUUGAAGAUGCAGGAGGGGUCGGAUCUUGUGGAGCAUGUGAAUGCCUUUAAUCAGUUGGUCACGGAUCUAGCGCGUCUGGAUGUGAAGAUUGAUGCUGAGGAUAAGGCGCUACUUCUUCUUGUUUCGUUGCCACCGUCCUAUGAGCAUUUGGUCAUUACAUUGACACAUGGAAAGACAACCAUCAAUAAUGAGGAAGUCACUGCAGCGUUGCUUGGGCAUGAGUUGAGGAAGCAAAAGAAUGCUACAGAGGAGAGUACUCAAGGUUUGGGGUUGGCAGUUAAAGGUUAUCAGCUCAGGAAGGGACAAGAGGCGGAGAAGAAAAGGAAAAAAAGGUGCAGUGCUACAGGUGCAAGGAUUGGGGACAUAUAA
rnacentral:rRNA from 1 species